rnacentral:rRNA from 1 species
GGAAUCCUUGAAGGCAGCAACGCCGCGUGAUGAAGAAGGUUUUCGGAUUGUAAACCUCUGUUGUUAGGGAAGAACAAGAUGGUUACGAAAUGAAAGUACCCUGACGGCACCUUAUUACAAACCCCCGGGUAAAAACCUGCCACCACCCGCGGUAAUAA